GACACGCUCCUUAGAUCCACCUCUGGAGGGCGCUGCGGCUGCAGCUCCUCACAGCUUCCUGCUGGACGGUCGGAGGUGCUUGAGUCAUUGGCGUGUGAGAGCAGUCCACCUGCCCCCCCGGCCCCCGCUGCAGCAGCACCCGGUCUGCAGGCCGGGACCCCCUGCUGCAGCCCGCCGGGGGGCGGACACC
ensembl:snoRNA